UCCCGUGUGGCUCAGUUGGUAGAGCAUGGUGUUUGCAACACCAGGGUUGUGGGUUCGAUUCCCACGGGGGAA
rnacentral:tRNA from 1 species